AUUGAACGCUGGCGGCAGGCCUAACACAUGCAAGUCGAGCGAGCGGCGGACGGGUGAGUAAUGUAUGGGGACUGCCCGAUCGAGGGGGAUAACUACUGGAAACGGUGGCUAAUACCGCAUACUAUCGGAUAACCCAUAUUGGAUUAGCUAGGAGGUGGGGUAAAGGCUCACCUAGGCGACGAUCUCUAGCUGGUCUGAGAGGAUGAUCAGCCACACUGUGACUGCGACUCGGCCCAGACUCCUACGGAGGCAGCAGUGGGGAAUAUUGCGCAAUGGGCGCAAGUCUGAUGCAGCCCUGCAGCGUGUAUUAAGAAGGCCUUAGGGUUGUAAAUUACUUUCAGCGGGGGGGCGUUACCCGCAGAAGAAGCACCGGCUAACUCCGUGCCAGCAGCCGCGGUAAUAC
rnacentral:rRNA from 1 species